GGGCAUGUAGCUCAGUGGUAGAGCGCCCGCUUUGCACCUCGAUGUCUGCGGGAGGUCUAGGGUUCGAUCCCCUACCUGUCCA